CUGAAUAUAGUUUAAUGUAUAAUACCAGCUUUGGGAGUUGGAGAUAAAGGUUUAAGUCCUUAUAUUGA
rnacentral:tRNA from 1 species